CCUACGGGAGGCAGCAGUGAGGAAUAUUGGUCAAUGGUCGGGAGACUGAACCAGCCAAGCCGCGUGAGGGAGGAAGGUACAGAGUAUCGUAAACCUCUUUUGUCAGGGAACAAAGGCGGGGACGUGUCCCCGGAUGAGUGUACCUGAAGAAAAAGCAUCGGCUAACUCCGUGCCAGCAGCCGCGGUAAUACGGAGGAUGCGAGCGUUAUCCGGAUUUAUUGGGUUUAAGGGGUGCGCAGGCGGUCUGUUAAGUCAGCGGUCAAAGCCCGGGGCUCAACCCCGGCCCGCCGUUGAAACUGGCAGUCGCGAGUUGGAGAGAAGUAUGCGGAAUGCGGGGUGUAGCGGUGAAGUGCAUAGAUAUCGGGCAGAACUCCGAUUGCGAAGGCAGCAUGCCGGCUCCACACUGACGCUGAGGCACGAAAGCGUGGGUAUCGAACAGGAUUAGAUACCCUAGUAGUC
rnacentral:rRNA from 1 species